CUACGUGCCAGCAGCCGCGGUAAUACGGAAGGUGCAAGCGUUAAUCGGAAUUACUGGGCGUAAAGCGCACGCAGGCGGUUUGUUAAGUCAGAUGUGAAAUCCCCGCGCUUAACGUGGGAACUGCAUUUGAAACUGGCAAGCUAGAGUCUUGUAGAGGGGGGUAGAAUUCCAGGUGUAGCGGUGAAAUGCGUAGAGAUCUGGAGGAAUACCGGUGGCGAAGGCGGCCCCCUGGACAAAGACUGACGCUCAGGUGCGAAAGCGUGGGGAGCAAACAGGAUUAGAUACCCUGGUAGUCCACGCUGUAAACGAUGUCGACUUGGAGGUUGUGCCCUUGAGGCGUGGCUUCCGGAGCUAACGCGUUAAGUCGACCGCCUGGGGAGUACGGCCGCAAGGUUAAAACUCAAAUGAAUUGACGGGGGCCCGCACAAGCGGUGGAGCAUGUGGUUUAAUUCGAUGCAACGCGAAGAACCUUACCUACUCUUGACAUCCAGAGAAUUCGCUAGAGAUAG
rnacentral:rRNA from 1 species